CCAAAAAGUCUUAUUAAAUGCCAAAACAGUCGGAAAAAGCUAGCAUAAUGUCAAUGUAACAGCUGAAACUCCAAAAUAGCUCAAAGAGGGGGGCAAGAGGACACAAGUGAGCAAAGGUAACAAAGUAAAUGUGAAGCAAAAGUCUGGCUUUUUGAAUCAAGCCGUUGAGGGAGGGGCUCUGAGAUUCAUGCAAAUGGAUUCACAAGGUUGGCAUGGACAAAUGCUGCUUUGCUUCAUUAGAAUGCACAAUUCCAUCUCUCUAAUUGACAUGCGAUUAAUAAUGUAUACAAUUUGUCACAGGUCAGUAUCUGCAGCAAAUCAUGUCUCCGUUUAAAAAAUAGAGACAGCUGCCCAGCCCAGGGCAGGAGGCACUCUCAGACCAGCUGCCACACUCAGCCAAGACAAAGCUCCGCUUCCUGCGAUCUGCAGGAGGAAGUGACUGAGCGGUGGAGUCCGGCCAUGACAACUUAGCGUUGAGUGCAAAGCCCCCCGAGCAACAGACGGACCGAAGGGCAGCUGGGAUCCCAGGCAGGCGGGAAGAACGGCGAGGGAGCGCAGAUACCGGCUGAAGCAACAAAAUCCAGCUUUGCUUCUUUUUGACACAAAUCACUGGAGUAUCUCUGCCUUUGUUUAGACAAAGAUUGACGAAGUGAAACAGGAAAUCCAAAUCAGAACUAGUAUUAUUGCACAAAUACUGUACUUCCUUCUUGUAAAAUCCUCAUCUUGUAUGUAAAAUAUAAGUGCAUCUUAACUUCAGAAAGGUCAAACCGAACCAGGAUGUUAGCAGUUCGAGGUUAAACUUGUUGGCUUUCAAAAACCGCUAUGUUCUAAAAAAAAUUCUAAAAAAAGGAAGUUCUGCAUUAGCACCUUCAUUUUGUUCAAAAAAACAAACAUUUCUAUGUUUUGCACAUUUUUAAGCGAUAUUUGCACCAUUCAAUUUAAAGCUCAAACAAAAGAAAACUUGGACAAUUUACAACAGCUGUCAUAAGUUUAGGAUGAAAUCCUGGAAAUAAAAUCUUAUUCCUGUAAAGUACAUUCAUUUAUGUCAUUGUAAAACUGUCCAAAAAUA